rnacentral:rRNA from 1 species
UACGGAGGAUCCAAGCGUUAUCCGGAUUUAUUGGGUUUAAAGGGUGCGUAGGCGGAUUGAUAAGUUAGAGGUGAAAUGUCCGAGCUUAACUCGGGAACUGCCUCUAAUACUGUUGAUCUAGAGAGUAGAUGCGGUAGGCGGAAUGUAUGGUGUAGCGGUGAAAUGCUUAGAGAUCAUACAGAACACUGAUUGCGAAGGCAGCUUACCAAUCUAUAUCUGACGUUGAGGCACGAAAGCGUGGGGAGCAAACAGG